AGAACUUGGUUGGAAAAUGUGCUACGCAUACUUGUGCAGAGGGAUACAAAUGUGUUUUGAAAGGAGAAGUAAUAACAUGUGUAAUAGCGUAUUGUACUGGAAGACCAUUUGCUGUAAAUGCUGAACUGGACGAACCAUUUGGACUUUCGAGAGACGUAGGACACGGCAUGAAGUAUAUGUGUACAAAAAGGAUAAAAAUGAUUGGAAAACCUUUUGCUGUCUGUCUAAAAACUGGACAAUGGAAAUCUAUGUUUAUUUGUGAAGAGGGAUCUCUAGUUUCUCAUAACAAGCCAACUGGUCAGAGCUCUAUUUACUGUGUUGAGGGAUACCUAUGCGAACCAGAAGCAGGGGUGGACGGAAUUAAGCAGCUCACCAACAUCUUCCAUACAAAACGGGAACUAGAACCGUUUUGGUGGGUCAAUCUCGGACAGGUGUAUACGGUAUUAAAGGUGGUCAGUAC